GAUGAAGAACGCAGCGAAAUGCGAUAAGUAGUGUGAAUUGCAGAAUUCAGUGAAUCAUCGAAUCUUUGAACGCACAUUGCGCCCCUUGGUAUUCCAUGGGGCAUGCCUGUUCGAGCGUCAUUUGUACCUUCAAGCCUUGCUUGGUGUUGGGUGUUUGUCUCGCCCCUGCGCGCAGACUCGCCUCAAAACAAUUGGCAGCCGGCGUAUUGAUUUCGGAGCGCAGUACAUCUCGCGCUUUGCACUCAGAACGACGACGUCCAAAAGUACAUUUUUACACUCUUGACCUCGGAUCAGGUAGGGAUACCCGCUGAACUUAAGCAUAUCAAUAAGCGGAGGA
rnacentral:misc_RNA from 1 species